AAUCUAUUUAGGUAGAGCGUCCGACGAAUACCCUGGGGGGUAGAGCACUGGAUGGUUGCGGGCUGCGCGAGCGGUACCAAUACUAACCAAACUCCGAAUACCCAGGAGUACUAUCGGGCAGACACACGGCGGGUGCUNNUAAGUGGGAAACGAUGUGGGAUUGCUUUGACAAUCAGGAGGUUGGCUUAGAAGCAGCCAUCCUUUAAAGAAAGCGUAACAGCUCACUGAUCAAGCGAUCCUGCGCGGAAAAUGUAACGGGGCUAAAGCCAUGCGCCGAAGAUAUGGGUUUGCAGUUUACUGCAAGCGGUAGCGGAGCGUUCCGUAAGCCUGUGAAGGUCAACCGUGAGGUUGGCUGGAGGUAUCGGAAGUGAGAAUGCUGACAUGAGUAACGAUAAACAGUGUGAGAAACACUGUCGCCGAAAGACCAAGGGUUCCUGCGUAAAGCUAAUCUGCGCAGGGUUAGUCGGCCCCUAAGGCGAGGCUGAAAAGCGUAGUCGAUGGGAAGCAGGUAAAUAUUCCUGCACCAGCUGGAAGUGACGGAUGGCAUAAGUCGUCGGGGCUUAUUGGAUUGUUCCCGGCGGUGGCGUCGUCCCUGGAAAUAACUCCAGCAGAGACCGUACCCGAAACCGACACAGGUGGUCAGGUAGAGAAUACCAAGGCGCUUGAGAGAACUGUGCUGAAGGAACUCGGCAAAUUGCACGCGUAACUUCGGAAUAAGCGUGACUCACCCUGGGCAACCAGGACUGAGUGGCACAAGCCAGGGGGUAGCGACUGUUUAGCAAAAACAUAGGGCUCUGCGAAGCAUCAAUGCGACGUAUAGGGUCUGACGCCUGCCCGGUGCCUGAAGGUUAAAGGGAGGAGUGAAAGCUCCGAACUGAAGCCCAGGUAAACGGCGGCCGUAACUAUAACGGUCCUAAGGUAGCGAAAUUCCUUGUCGGGUAAGUUCCGACCUGCACGAAUGGCGUAACGACUUCCCCACUGUCUCCAGCACAGGCUCAGUGAAAUUGAAUUCCCCGUGAAGAUGCGGGGUUCCCGCGGUCAGACGGAAAGACCCUAUGAACCUUUACUAUAGCUUCGCCUUGGCGUUAGCGACCGUAUGUGUAGGAUAGGUGGGAGGCUAUGAAACCGGGGCGCCAGCUCUGGUGGAGCCAUCCUUGAAAUACCACCCUUACUGUCGUUGACGUCUAACCGAGGGCCGUUAUCCGGUCCCGGGACAUGGCGUGGUGGGUAGUUUGACUGGGGCGGUCGCCUCCCAAAGUGUAACGGAGGCGCGCGAUGGUUAGCUCAGACCGGUCGGAAAUCGGUCGUCGAGUGCAAUGGCAUAAGCUAGCCUGACUGCGAGACUGACAAGUCGAGCAGAGACGAAAGUCGGCCAUAGUGAUCCGGUGGUCCCGCGUGGAAGGGCCAUCGCUCAACGGAUAAAAGGUACUCUAGGGAUAACAGGCUGAUUUUGCCCAAGAGUCCAUAUCGACGGCAAAGUUUGGCACCUCGAUGUCGGCUCAUCACAUCCUGGGGCUGGAGCAGGUCCCAAGGGUACGGCUGUUCGCCGUUUAAAGUGGUACGUGAGCUGGGUUCAGAACGUCGUGAGACAGUUUGGUCCCUAUCUGCCGUGGGUGUUCGAAGCUUGAGAGGAUCUGUCCCUAGUACGAGAGGACCGGGAUGGACAUACCUCUGGUGGACCUGUCGUGGCGCCAGCCGCGCAGCAGGGUAGCUAAGUAUGGAAUAGAUAACCGCUGAAAGCAUCUAAGCGGGAAACUAACCUCAAAACAAGGCUUCGCUGAGGAUCGUGGAAGACUACCACGUUGAUAGGCCAGGUGUGGAAGCGCGGUGACGUGUGAAGCUUACUGGUACUAAUAAUCCGAUCGGCUUGAUC
rnacentral:rRNA from 1 species